AAGUCGUAACAAGGUUUCCGUAGGUGAACCUGCGGAAGGAUCAUUAACGAAUAACUAUGGUGUCUUGGUUGUAGCUGGCUCCUCGGAGCAUUGUGCACGCCCGCCAUUUUUAUCUAUCCACCUGUGCACCGACUGUAGGUCUGGAUGACUCUCGUGCUCCCUGAGUGCGGAUGCGAGGAUUGCCCUCUUGAGGUGUCUCUCCUCGAAUUUCCAGGCUCUACGUCUUUUUUACACACCCCACAAGCAUGAUAUAGAAUGUAGUCAAUGGGCUUGAUCGCCUAUAAAACACUAUACAA
rnacentral:misc_RNA from 1 species